AAAGAGUAAUUUUCAUUCUAAGUUACUUUAGCACUUUUUAUUACAGCAUAAGACACUUACUACUCCUAGGGUAGUUUUGAGUAACUUUUACUUCAUUUUCCUUAACUAAACGUAACUGCAAAAGAUUCUAGUUUCUUUUUGUUUUAAUUAUUUUUAUUACAAAAAUACUUGUCCUUUUGCUUUACUUUCUUUUUCAUUUACUGUAAUUUUCUUCUCCACAAAAACCACAGAUGUAGUUCAAUCUUCUUCUUAUCCACUUCGACCAACAAGCACCACCGCAAAGAAAAAUCAGAAGUUGACUGGGGAACGUCUUCGUCUCAAUCUCAAUACAAUUUGAUGUAGCUCUGCCGCCGGCUCAAUCCCCGGAUGUGUUUCAAUCCAUCAUCACCGAGUGGUCAUUCUCAGCACCGUCGCGUCUCGUCUUCCUCCGCAUCUUUAAAUCGGUGGUUCGUCUAGCUCUGCCGUGCCUUCCUCCAUGACAUCUCCUCCUCUCCAACCGCUCCUCCUCUCCAAUUGCCAGCGAACCAAACGGAGGGUCGAUCCGAAUUGUGAGCCUCGAAGGGAUCCAUUCCCAAACCAAGUUUCAUAUAUUUCCACAACUAGUCCUUUAAUUUUCAAUUUUUUAUAAUUUGGCCCUAAAAGUUGCAAAUUUGCACAGUUUCUUUUCAAUUUGGCUCCACACUUGUAAUUGUGUAAUACAACUCUUACUUUAUGAAGAUUACUAUGCAAAAGCAAUAUAAUCUAAAAUAAAAAGCCAAAACCAUGAAAUACAUUAUUGUCGUUUAAAUAUUAGCUAUAUGUAUGAAGAUUCCUGAAUGUUCAUAUGUACGUGAACUAAUGUACAGAAAAUUAGUAUCCACAUGUACAAGAAUACACAUGUACACCAAUUAAAUUGUGCAAGAAUUCACAUGUACACCUGAUAAAUUUAUUAGAUAUAGUUGUAAUUUACAAUAUAAAAUAGUAAAGGUGUACACAUAUUUUUUACUCACAACGUUUGACAUAUAUACUAUGUGUACACAUGUACAAUGGCUUUCUCGGCUAGCAACGUCCUCAAGAUAGUAGAGAAACACAUUCUAACUACGUGUACAUAUGUACAAUGGGUAUGAUUUACACAUUGAUCAGUAAAAGUACAUGUACACAUGUACAAUGCAGUAAAUUUGUAAAGAAAAUUAAACAGACUAGAAGUUUGAGGCAUAUUGUGAAAGAAGCAUGAAACUAGAGGACCAAAGUGCAAAAAGACGAUACUCCUCAAUUGGUGUUACUCGAACGAUCUUUUCACCCGAUCUCCGACGACGGUGAGCCGGAAUAAUGUGUACAACACAACAUAUAAAACAAACCUUUUUAGCUUAUUUAUUACUUUUUAAAGAACUUUGAUCAUACUUUUAUGGGCCUUCACAGCUAGCCACUUUCUCAAGAUAGUAGAGAAACACAUUAUAGUUACGUGUACACAUGUACAAUUGGUAUGAUGUACACAUUGAUCAAUAAAAUUACGUGUACACAUGUACAAUGCGGUAAAUUUGUAAAGCAAUGAUAUGGAAUGAUUUGAAUGAGUUAUAGUUUUAGAUAUGGAAUGAUAUGAAAUGAUUUGAAUGAGUUAUAGUUUUAGAGUUAAUUUAGAUUAUUUUAAGUUUCCCUUACGUGUAUAUAUAGCAUUUUUAUGGUUUUACCAUCUUAAUUUAAUUUAUUUUUAGACAAAUUCAUUGGCUCCAUAUUAAUAGUUUAAGUGAGAAACAAAUUGCAAAAUGUGGUCUAGUAGUAAGAAAGAGCCUUUGAGCCAUCAUAUCCAUGUUCAAAUCUCCAUGAGAUCAUUUUUUUCUCAUCAAUAGCAAAAUCGUAAAUACAUCAUCUUCAACCUCACAAUUCGUUUUUUUUUUCUUCUGUAAAAAUGCUACGGCCGUCAAUCAUGGCUUCGUCUUAAAUCUCCAAACUUUGAGUGUAUUUCAUGUUAUUUUGGCAUCAAAAUUAUAGAUCUAUUUGGUAUUAAUUGAUUUUAAACAUUAACCUCUAAAAAUAAGAUCUUGGUGAAUCUGAUUUAGAGAUCUUCAACGUACGGUGACGAAGAAGAAAUCCAGCGGCAGCUGGUUGAUAUGGCGGAGGUGGCCGGGGAUAUAGUGGAUACGAACCUCGACGGUAAUGGUGUUGUGAUUGGUGGUGGUUGUGGGUUUGGGUUCGACAGUGAUUUGGGUCCGGUGGGUUGGGAGGGAGGAAACAAAGGCAAAUGUUAAGGAUAUGGGUGAGGUGGUGGUAAUGGUGGUGGUGGGUGUGGUGGUGAAUACACGUUCAGUUAGAAGGAAGAAAUGAAUAAGGGAAGAGAAAGAAAAAUUAUAUAAAUUCAAUUUCUUUAGUUAGGUGAUUUGUUUAAAGGAUGUAACUAAAUUAGUUAGAAGAGAAGAGAAAGUUAAGAAAAAGUGUCUCAGGAGUGAAAUGUGUCUUAGAGUGUAAUAUAAAGAUGAAAUGUGACUUUAAGUGUAAAUGUUUAAAACAACACUAAAGAUUAUAGGCUUCAGUAUAUAAAGUAUUUACCAAAAACUCAAUAUUUUCAAAGGGGUUAACACAUGAAUUUUGAGAAAAUUUCAAAAAAUUUGAAAAUAUUAUUUUAAUGCAUAGUUGCAUCUUUCACUAACAUAUGAUGAUGUUCAAAGAGGUUUGGAGCCUUUGUUGUCUCCGUUUUUCAAGAAAGUAAUUAUUUUAUAAUAGUUAUUUCAUUGAUUUAGGGAGUAUUAUGAAGAUUUACUAAAUUAAUUGAUAAACAAAUUAUAACGAUUUCCAUAUACCAUGAAAAAUACUUAAAAUACAUUAAUACCAAUGUAGAAUGUGGUUAGAAAUUUUAAAACAACACUAAAGAGUAUAGGCUUCAGUAUAUAAAGUAUUUACCAAAAACUCAAUAUUUUCAAAAUGGCACUUGCAACUCAAGAGUACAACCUGUGAGUAUGGACUGUACCCGUCGAGUUCUAGCAACGAGGUAAAACAGCCAGUUAAGGUUAUAGUUAACCGUCUCUUUAAAUCAAGGAGUUUGCAAGUUUUUUGGAUUCUUAUUUUUUAAUUAACUGUAAAGAUUUGAAAAAAUUGUCUAUGAAACCACUAUGGUAUAAACAUGAUGCGUUAAAAUAUUUUUCUUUUGUUUCUUU
rnacentral:lncRNA from 1 species